GUACUUACCUAGCANGGGAGAUCCUAUGGUCAUGAAGGUGGCUUUCUCAGGGUGAGGCUUCUCCGUUGUAUUGUAGAUACCCUGAUUCCUGUGAUUUCUCCAAAUGUGGGAAACUUGACUGCAUAAUCUGUGGUAGUGAGGAACUAGGUUCAUGCUCUCCCCU
rnacentral:snRNA from 1 species